UAUAUAUUAGUUUAAAAAAAACGAUAAAUUGCAAAUUUAUUAAUAUAUAUAUAUAUAUAUAUAUAU
rnacentral:tRNA from 1 species